rnacentral:rRNA from 1 species
UACGGAGGGUGCAAGCGUUAUCCGGAUUCACUGGGUUUAAAGGGUGCGUAGGUGGGCCGGUAAGUCCGUGGUGAAAUCUCUGAGCUUAACUCAGAAACUGCCGUGGAUACUAUCGGUCUUGAAUACCGUGGAGGUGAGCGGAAUAUGUCAUGUAGCGGUGAAAUGCUUAGAUAUGACAUAGAACACCAAUUGCGAAGGCAGCUUACUACCCGAAUAUUGACACUGAGGCACGAAAGCGUGGGGAUCAAACAGG